GAUAAACCGGAGGAAGGUGGGGAUGACGUCAAGUCAUCAUGGCCCUUACGACCAGGGCUACACACGUGCUACAAUGGCGCAUACAAAGAGAAGCGACCUCGCGAGAGCAAGCGGACCUCAUAAAG
rnacentral:rRNA from 1 species